UUUCGCAAUGCCCGAAAGGGUGACGAAGCGACGCCGCGUGGGUGAGGAAGGCCCUCGGGUUGUAAAGCCCUGUCAGGAGUUAAGAAAUGUAGGCCCGCUAAUAUCGGGUCUAUUUGACAAAGGCUCCAAAGGAAGCCACGGCUAACUCUGUGCCAGCAGCCGCGGUAAUACAGAGGUGGCAAGCGUUGUUCGGAAUUAUUGGGCGUAAAGAGCGCGUAGGUGGAUUUGUAAGUCAGACGUGAAAGCCUUCUGUUCAACGGGAGAAUUGCAUCUGAAACUACAGACCUUGAGUAUAGGAGGGGAGAAUGGAACUUCUGGUGGAGCGGUGAAAUGCGUAGAUAUCAGAAGGAACGCCGGCGGCGAAAGCGAUUCUCUGGCCUAUUACUGACACUCAGUGUGCGAAAGCUAGGGGAGCAAACGGGAUUAGAUACCCCGGUAGUCCUAGCCGUAAACGAUGGGCACUAAGUAGAGGGGUUUUA
rnacentral:rRNA from 1 species